AAGAUUUUAAGAUAAAUAAUCAAUUAACCUUCAAAGUUAAAAAUAUAAAUAAUACAAUUUUAUAAAUCUUA
rnacentral:tRNA from 1 species